rnacentral:ncRNA from 2 species
AAGGAUUGGCUCUGAGGGCUGGG